rnacentral:rRNA from 1 species
UACGUAGGAGGCGAGCGUUGUCCGGAUUUACUGGGCGUAAAGGGCGCGCAGGCGGCAUGUCAAGUAAGAUGUGAAAUCUCCUUGCUCAACGAGGAGGGUGCAUUUUAGACUGGCAAGCUAGAGGACGGUAGAGGGGGGUAGAAUUGCUGGUGUAGCGGUGAAAUGCGUAGAGAUCAGCAGGAAUACCCGUGGCGAAGGCGGCCCCCUGGGCCGAACCUGACGCUGAGGCACGAAGGCCAGGGGAGCAAACGGG